GCUAAUCUUGUUACUUUAGUCCCACCGCCGGCUCCGCACAGUCGCCAAUAAUACUACUCUCUUCUGCAUCAUCCCUCAAGUUCCCAUUUCAAAAGAUAAUAUUUUGAUUAGUGAGUAUUUCUCUUAUUUUCCUCUUUCUUUGUCUUUCUCUCUCAAACUUGAAAUAUAAUUAAUUAAGGGGAAGGAAAGAAAAAAAAAAUAAAAUAAAAGGGUCCGUCGGUGUUGUUUGAUUGACCUUGAAUCUAUCUGGGAAAGAGGUAAAUUGUUGUUUGAUUUUUUGUUAAAGUUCAGUUUGAACUCUUUUUGUUCUUGAAUUUUCUAUUUUUGUUCUAGCUUUUUGCUAUUUUCUUCUUCUUUUUCUCUUUUUAUGUUUACUGGAUCUCUCCGACUUGGAAUCUUUUAGGUCUGGAUCCUGGUUUCUCGUUUGGGUUUACUGUUAGAUGUGGGUUAUAGGAUUAGACCAAGAAUUUUUGUGUUCUUUUUUAGAUCCAAGCUACUUGACCUCUAUGUUAUUACCUGAACAAUUUCUUUUCUAGGAAAGUUGAAAACUUUCCCGGGAGGUACUUACAUUCUGUCAUAAACGGUGAGAUCUGGGUGUUUCACUUGAUUAUCUGUUGGAUGAUAAGAUUCAUUUGAUUUAUAAUCUAGUCAUGGGCUUUAAUAUCAAAAUUGGCUUUAAUAUCAAAAUUGGUUACUUUAAUCUCCUGCUAGUAAAUCUAUUCAUAUCUUUCAAUAGAAAAUAAUUCAAGAUUAAUUUUUUUUAUGAAUUGGGAAUAUAAAAUUUUCUGUUAUGGAAUUGAUGUUUCAUCAAAGUUUUUUAGUGGAAUUAACUUGUCUCAAUCAAAAUUUGCUGAAAUGAUUGAUAUUUGAGAUUUUGUGCAUAAAUAUUCUGUAGUAAAUAAGAAAAUCUGAAAUGGAAUUUCUAUUGAAUUAUUAUACACAGGAAAGCAUUUAGUUUUUUGCUGGGUUUUAGUAUGUAUUAACUUUUGCUGUUCUUAGCAGGCUUAAAAAUACCGACAGAGUAAGAUAGAUAGGGUUUAAAGCCAUUAGAGAUCCCUACAAAUUCAAGAUGAUGAUGUUCGAUGAGAUGGGAUUUCUUGGUGAUAUGGAUUUCUUCUCUGCGCCUUUUGGAGAAGAUGUGGCUGGUCCGGAAACUGAGCCGGAGCCUACUGUGGAGGAUGAUUAUAGUGAUGAGGAGAUUUAUAUUGAUGAGCUUGAGCGCAGGAUGUGGAGGGACAAGAUGCGUCUUAAAUGGCUGAAAGAGCAGAUCAAGAGUAAAGAAGGUAUUGAUAUUGCUAAGCAGAGGCAGUCACAGGAACAAGCUAGGAGGAAGAAGAUGUCAAGGGCUCAAGAUGGGAUCUUAAAAUAUAUGUUGAAGAUGAUGGAAGUUUGUAAAGCUCAAGGCUUUGUUUAUGGGAUUAUUCCUGAGAAAGGAAAGCCAGUGACUGGGGCAUCAGAUAAUCUUCGAGAGUGGUGGAAGGAUAAAGUAAGGUUUGAUCGAAAUGGUCCGGCUGCCAUUGCCAAGUAUCAAGCGGAUAAUUCGAUCCCAGGCAAGAAUGAGGAUUGUAAUUCAAUUGGUCCAACUCCACAUACCUUGCAGGAGCUUCAAGAUACUACUUUGGGUUCGCUUUUGUCAGCUUUGAUGCAGCACUGUGAUCCUCCUCAGAGGCGGUUUCCAUUGGAGAAAGGUGUUCCUCCACCAUGGUGGCCCAAUGGAAAUGAAGAGUGGUGGCCUCAAUUAGGCUUACCUAAGGACCAGGGUCCUCCACCUUAUAAGAAGCCUCAUGACUUGAAAAAGGCAUGGAAGGUUGGGGUUCUUACUGCAGUGAUCAAACAUAUGUCUCCAGACAUUGCCAAAAUUCGCAAGCUUGUGAGACAGUCAAAGUGUUUACAGGACAAAAUGACAGCUAAGGAGAGUGCAACUUGGCUUGCAAUUAUUAACCAAGAGGAGGCAUUGGCCCGAGAGCUUUACCCUGAUUCAUGCCCACCCUUGUCAUCGACUGGAGGGAGUGGUUCAUUAGUGAUUCAUGAUUGCAGUGAAUAUGAUGUUGAAGGGGUUGAAAAUGAGGGAGGUAAAAAUACGUGGAGGGACAAGAUGCGUCUUAAAAGGCUGAAAGAGCAGAACAAGAGAAAAGAAGGUAUUGAGAUUGCUAAGCAGAGGCAGUCACAGGAAGAAGCUAGGAGGAAGAAGAUGUCAAGGGCUCAAGAUGGGAUCUUCUUUUUACUUAGUAAAUUAUAGAGGAGAAUUUUAUUAGCAAUUGAAAGAAGAGUAACCAGAAAAUGGAAAUUGCAUCUUUUUUUUCGUGGCAUUUUAUCAUUGCAUUGUUGAAUAUUUUCUCCAGUCACAGAGUUCCCUUUCCAUGGAGUUUAAAAGAUUGGCUUACUGUAGAUACUAUAGAUCUUUAUUUAUGUCUAGGUAAAAUACAUCUGUGACUCUAAAUUAUGUCAUAAUUAACACUUUUGUCCCUCUACUGAUUAGAGAAAUGAAAAUGUUAAUCAGGGCAUAAUUAAGGACCCACAUGUAUUCUACCCUAGUUCAAUGAUUAAAAGGUUAUUGUAGUCUUUUUAUUUUCAAUUGCUGGUGAAAGUUCACUUUUUUGGAAGGAAUAACUUAUCAAUUAGAAAGACUAUUAGGGUGAAAUUUAAAAUAUAUGCAAGGAAAUAUGCUUAACCAAAAAAAAAAAAAAAUUAUAUAUAUAUAUAUAUAUAUAUAUAUAUAUAUAUAUAUAUGAAAAGAGAUGAAGGUCAAAUUUGUCUUGCCAUAUUUUAUUUUAUAUACCAAAUGCUGAAAAAUAAUUUUCUUUAAAAAAGUACUUUUUGAGAAGUAUACUUCGGGAUAAAUAAUAAUUUUUCUUUAUUUUAUUUUUAGAUAAUGUUAAAGAUGAAAAACGAACUUUGAGGAGUGUCUUGAUGUGGUCAUUUGGGGAAACGCACUGGAGAGUUGAUGACGGGCUAAAGUGGGCCUGAAACCGGACCAGGUUCAGUUGGCUGUUUCCAACUAUGAAAUAGACAAUAAUAGCCUCAAGACAAGGCUUACUGUUUACGUGCUUUGGUAACAUGCACAUGUUUGGUUUUCUACAGAACAAAUCCCUUUUUCAGAAAAAUUAAUUAUUUUAUUCAUUAAUUAUUUUACUGGCUGUUAAUUAUUUCAGUUGGUUGUUUUGUCAAACCUUAUAAGCAAUAACAUCUAAAAAUUAUUAUCUCAGUUUUAUGAUAUUUGUUAUAUUGGAGAAAUAAUUUAUUCUAAAAUAUUUGUUAUAUUUGUGAUUUUAAGAGUAAUAAAUUUUUUUUUUUUUCAUGUCUACCAUUUGUAUAGGUCUAACUAUCAUAACUUCAAUUUAAUAAUUUUUUUUAAAAAAAAUUAGUAUUUAACGUCUGAUUUAUCAAUAAACAGAUUUUGUUGGUAGUUACCUACAAAUUAGAAAUUUUUAUUGAUAAAAUUUAUUUUUAAAAUUAAAAAAGAUCAUAUAAUUUUAACGAUCGAUUAUCGACAGAAUAGAUUACCAACAGAGUUUACCAAUAAAUUUAAAUUUUAUUGGCAAAAAGUGUGUUAUAAAUUUGCGCGUAGGUUGAUAAUUUAUUAACAAAUUACAAAUAGAUUUUUAUAAAAAUUUUAAAUUUCAAGAGUCAUAAAUGGGCGGGUAAAUGAUGAAAUUUGGCAACACUAAAAUAUAUAAAUUUAUUUAUGAACUUUUUCGAAAAAAAAAAAAAGUGUGGAUAUAAAUUUCAGGUGUCAUAAAUUGCUCCAAAUAAGGCAAGUCACUAAUUCUAACAGACUUGAUGACAUCUGCCUAACAAAGUAGGAUAUUUAUCGUUUGAUUAUUUAAGCAACUAACGGAAGUCAGUUGUUUUAGCAGACUUGCCUUAGUUGGAACUACUAAAGGUUACGGAGAAGGUCAUAGUUUCAACUGAGACAAGUAAAAACACGUUAUUAAAGAAAACGGCGUCAUUUCUUUCUAGUAAUUCCAACUCAUGUCCCUCUUCACUUCCUACGUUUAGCUCAUAAAUGUCAUUACUUGAUUUCCAAUUUGAAUUUAAGCUCAACUCAUUUACGAUUAGCGAGCCAAGUUCCAUUUUUAAAUGAAUCAAACUCGAAAUCAAGUAUAUCAUAAUCGAAUGGAGCUUAAAUUCAUCAAAACUCGACUUUUCGAUCAGUUCAGCUUGAUUUGACUUAUUUACAACCCUAUCUAAUCUCAUUCUGUUUCGAGGACUAUGAUAUAUAUCAUGCUCCUCUUCCUUUAUCAACGUGCUAGUCCAAACCAAGUUUGCUUCGUACUACUAAGAACUUAUGGAGAAUAACAAUUACUCAUAAAUAAAUAUUGCACUUAAAUAAACAAAUGCUAAAGCAUUUCUCAUUCUUUAUAAAUAGGUAAGACUUAAAGAACGAUUGUAUUAACAAUUUUACAUUUUUUUUUUUGUAUAAAUGACAAAACAAAAUUUUGAUAGAAAAAUUUAAAAGAUAUUAUUUUUCUUAGGAAUUUAGUAAUUUUUUUAACUUGAUAUAAUUAUUGGGUAUAUUUAAAAAAUAUAUAUAUAUUAUUUAAGGCCACAAAAAGGAGGUUAAACUAAUUUUGGUUUAAGGCAAUGAAAUAUCAAUUAAUUUUGGUUCGAUUUCGAACUAAACCAAGCUGCAAGAACCAAAAAUCGAAAAUACAUUUUACUUGAAAUCGAACCGAACCAAAAUGGUCAAUCCGGUUUGAUAGGUAUGAAUUCAGUUAAACGAUUUGGUUUUACACAUUAAAUAAACGUUUGGUAUAACCAAUCCAAAUACAGAAAAUUGAAAUUAUGAAAAAAUUUUAAACAUAAGCCUAGACCAAAAACUGAAUAAUUGAACUAAAAAUAAAAAAUAAUUUGGUUCGAUUCGAGUUUUGAUUUUUCCUAAAAUCUGCUCACCCCAGUCAAUUAGAUUCCUAACCCAUCACCAGAUGUCCAUUUUAAUUUCGUGCGUAGUGCUUGGCUUACGCUGGCAGCUGUACAAUUGACCAAAUACAAUUUAUCUUGAAACUUUUAAGGAUUAUUUUAUUUUAAUUUCAUGCAAUUGGUAAUUAGUUUUGCCGCAAUGAAAUGCUGCACGUGCUUAAAAAAAAAAAAGUAAAAAAGGUCUUUGACUUGAUAAACACAAAGCAUUUGAUGUCACAUCCCCAAGUCCGUGGAUAAUACAGUUACUAUUAAACCCACGAAAUGUUCCACAAAUAAAAUAUAAAUUGGAAAACCAAGUUAAUAUUUUAGUAGAUAUCCCUAAUAAUUUUUAUAUUUUUUAACUAUUUAACAAGUGUUGAAUUGAUUUAAUUUUAUCAAUUAAAAUAUUCGUUGCAUUAAGUUGAAAUAUUUAUUAAGUGUAAUUUGUUAAAUUAAAGUGCUUAAUAAAAUAAAAUUUAAAAGUGUUACAGGAGAUUUUAUAAAAAAUGCAUAUAUAAAUUUAUUAUUUCGCUCUAAAAAUAUAAAAAUAAAUUAGAUAUAUUAUUAUUGAAAAUAUUUUAUCGGAAUAUCAUUUUUAAUCUGAUCGUAAAAUUACGUUUGUGAAAUAAAAACCACAUUUAUAGCAAAUUAAGUUGAAUUAUACUGAUUUGACAAAAAUAUUUUUCAAUACAAUCAUAAAUAUUAUUAAUUUUAUAGUGUUCAUUUUUAUUUUAGAAAAAAAAAAAAAACAUUGAGGUUUCUCUAGUUGAUGAAAUAUCCAUCUACGGAUAGUUCCACCUCUAAAUAUGGCAUGGGUACCUAAAAAUUUAAGAUUUUUAUAAUUUCUCACCCUUUUUAUUUAUAUUUAAUUGAUUUAUGCAAAUCAAAUCACCAAAAUUCUUACAUGAUAUGAUCUUUUUGAAUUAAAAUGUGUCAUAACUUACAAAAUAAUAUAUAUAUAUAAACAACUUAUAAAAUAUAUAAGGCUUGUUUUGGCAAUACUAGCUCUUUUAGUAAGAAUUUAUUCGGCAAUAUUAGUUAUUUUAUAAGCUCUUUAAACUAGUAGUUGUUUAUAUAAUAAUUUAAAUUAAAAAUGCUCGAUAAAAAUAAUUGUUUUGUUUAAAAAAUUAGGAUUACAAUUAUUAAAAAAAUUAUCUGAAUACCACUUUCAUUCUGAAUAUAUAUAUAAAUAAACCACAAAAAUUAGUGUUUAUGGGAGAAUUAAUUACAAUUAUAGAUUUUUCAUUAUUUGUACAGAAAAACCUAACACAUCCAAAUCUUUCUUAAUCACUUUUGAUUUGCAAUAUCAUCAUCUUUUUCGUCUUCUUUUUCUAGUUUCACCUUCAUUGUCUUAUUGCUUCCUCGAUAGGUGCCACUCGAACUUUCUUUUACCUUAUUAGCUUAACUAUUUCUGCUUUAAUAAAAUUCAAAAUAAAAAAAAUUAAAUUCCAAAAAAUAUUAAAAAGUUCUAGAAGUAUAUAAUAAUUUUUUAAAAAUAUAUUCCAUUUCUUCAAACGAAUAAUAAACACUAUAAAAAGAAUAAAACCUAUUCGAGUUGGUGGGAUUUGAAUCCUAUAAAAGCAAACCACAUGCAUAAAUGUUGACACGAUAGCUCGCGGUAUAAACAUGAAAAGAAAAAAAAAUUCUGUAAAAAGAAUAAAAUAAUAAUAAUAAUAAUAAAUUAAAUUUAAAGCUAUGCUCAAAAGAGAGAUUAAUAAAUUUAGAAAAAUAUAUAUUUAUUGAAAAAAUAAAAAUAAAAAAGAAGAAUUAUCAAUAAGAAUAAAAUAAAAUAAAAGGCUAGUAGUAGAUAUCAUAUAAAUUUUUUCAAAUUAAUUGAAAAAUAGACUGAUAUAGUAUUAGGUCUAAUUUAAGUAGUCUUUAUACCCAUUUAGGCAAUAAAAAUAUAUAUGUUAAAUCAUUAAUAUCUUAUUGGUAUUUUUUUAAAUUCCAGUGGUAAAAAUCAAGUCUGAAAUUUCCUUAUUUACUCAUUAAAAAAUAAGAAAAAGUUCAAAUUUUCAUUCUAAAUUUCUUCAAUCAACGAAAGUCCUGAAAUGGAAUUCACUUUUUAAGUAAGGGAUUUUUUAAGAUUUUUCAUUUACUUUAUAUUAUUUAAUUUCAAAUAUUUAUAAAUUUUAGUAUUAAUUACAAAAGAUUUUCACAGACAUUGUAAUGUAGUUGGAAAUUUUGAUGUUUGAACGCUUUUGCCAAAUAGCGAUAUAAAUAUUUACUCCCUCUAUCUCAAAAAAUUUAUCAUGUUUACUCUUACACGAAGUUUAAGAAACAAAAUAAUUACAGUGUAACAUAUUCCUUUAUCUCAAAAUAUAAUUCGUUUAAGGUUUUUGUAUAAGAAUUAAGGAAGUAAUUAAUUCUUCUUGAUUAUAAUAAAAUUAAAAGUAAAUUGAUUAAAUAAUCGUUUAUAUUAAAACUAAUAGGUACUUGUGAAAGUUUUUGUUGUAUCUAAUGUAAACAACGGUAACAUUAGAAAAAUAUUAUUUAUUUACUCAUUGAAAUAUUCAAAAUGACUUAUAUUUUAAAAUAAAAUAAUUAUACAAAAACGACUUAUAUAUUGGGACAGAGGGAACAUAAAAUAUUUGUGCUUCCAAAAUUGUGAUUCUUUUAAACAAAAUGGUUAUUUCUAAAAAUUUGCACCAAAAUCAGUUAUAAAAAAAAAACAUAAAAGGAAAUAUCAAUAUCUCCUCGAUUAAUUGGACAAACAUUUUGAGACAUUUAAAAAUCAAAAUAUGGAUUAAAAUUUUUUGGUACGGAAUGAGCAUUAUAUUUUGUCAUUGUUGAUUAUAAAUUAAAUUAACAGAAAGGGAUGAUACGUUUAGAAAAAAAUUAUUUAUAAAAAUUGAAUUUUUAAGAAAACUGAUCAGAAGUCAUUAAAAAUUGUUUAAAGACUAAUAAUAUUUAACCUAUAAAAUAAUUUAGAUUUUCGUAUUUAUUUUUUUUUCUAAAAUUUUCAAUUGUUAAUAUAAGAAACAAAACCUUAAAAAUAAACAUUUUGAUGAAACAACAACUGUAACUCUUAUCUGUAAGAAGGGAAGCAAUAGAAAGAAAAUCUAGAGAAAAUCAGGUGCAAAUCAAUGAAAGUAAAUGCAUUCCCACUAACAAGGGAUAAGUUUUGGUGAAACGUCAGGUGUAUAUCAGAGGACACACACGCAACAACACGGAGCCCCUUCAAGCCCUCCCUCGCAGCACGUACACUUUCACUUUCACUUUCUUUGUCUUAAAUAAUCUCCUCUUCUCUCUCUCUCUCUCUCUCUCUCUCCAAACGGACAUAACUAUGGUUCAAUUGAAUUAACCUCAUCAAACCUCACCUCUUCUCUCCCUCUCUCCCUCUCUCUCCUUCCUCAUGCUUUCUUAUAUUUUUUUUGGCUAAUCUUGUUACUUUAAUCCCACCGCCCACUCCACACAGUCACCAAUAAUACUACUCUGUUCUGCAUCAUCCCUCAAGUUCCCAUUUCAAAAGAUAAUAUUUUGAUUAGUGGUUAUUUCUCUUAUUUUCCUCUUUCUUUGUCUUUCUCUCUUAAACUUGAAAUAUAAUUAAUUAAGGGGAAGGAAAGAAAAAGAAAAGAAAAUUAAAGGGUCUGUCGGUGUUGUUUGAUUGACCUUGAAUCUAUCUGGGAAAGAGGUAAAUUGUUGUUUGAUUUUUUUUUUUUUUUUAAAGUUCAGUUUGAACUCUUUUUGUUCUUGAAUUUUCUAUUUUUGUUAUAACUUUUUGCUAUUUUCUUCUUCUUUUUCUCUUUUUACGUUUACUGGAUCUCUCCGACUUGGAAUCUUUUGGGUCUGGAUUCUGGUUUCUCGUUUGGGUUUACUGUUAGAUGUGGGUUUUAGGAUUAGACCAAGAAUUUUUGUGUUCUUUUUUAGAUCCAAGCUACUUGACCUGUAUGUUAUUGCAUGAACAAUUUUUUUUCUAGGAAAGUUGAAAACUUUCCCGAGAGGUCCUUACCUUCUGUCAUAAACGGUGAGAUCUGGGUGUUUCACUUGAUUAUAUGUUGGAUGAUAAGAUUCAUUUGAUUUAUGAUCUAGUCUUGGGCUUUAAUAUCAAAAUUGGUUACUUUAAUCUGCUGCCAGUAAAUCUAUUUAUAUCUUUCAAUAGAAAAUAAUUCAAGAUUAAUUUUUUUUAUGAAUUGGGAAUAUAAAAUUUUCUGUUGUGGAAUUGAUGUUUCAUCAAAGUUUUUUAGUGGAAUUAAUUUGUCUCGAUCAAAAUUUGCUGAAAUGAUUGAUAUUUGAGAUUUUGUGCAUAAAUAUUCUGUAGCAAAUAAGAAAAUCUGAAAUGGAACUUCUAUUGAAUUGUUGAAUUAUGAUACACAGGAAAGCAUUUAGAUUUUUGCUGGGUUUUAGUAUGUAUUAACUUUUGCUGUUCUUAGCAGGCUUGAAAAUACCGACAGAGUAAGAUAGAUAGGGUUUAAAGCCAAACUAUGGUUCAAUUGAAUUAACCUCAUCAAACCUCACCUCUUCUCUCCCUCUCUCCCUCUCUCUCCUUCCUCAUGCUUUCUUAUAUUUUUUUUGGCUAAUCUUGUUACUUUAAUCCCACCGCCCACUCCACACAGUCACCAAUAAUACUACUCUGUUCUGCAUCAUCCCUCAAGUUCCCAUUUCAAAAGAUAAUAUUUUGAUUAGUGGUUAUUUCUCUUAUUUUCCUCUUUCUUUGUCUUUCUCUCUUAAACUUGAAAUAUAAUUAAUUAAGGGGAAGGAAAGAAAAAGAAAAGAAAAUUAAAGGGUCUGUCGGUGUUGUUUGAUUGACCUUGAAUCUAUCUGGGAAAGAGGUAAAUUGUUGGUUGAUUUUUUUUUUUUUUUAAAGUUCAGUUUGAACUCUUUUUGUUCUUGAAUUUUCUAUUUUUGUUAUAACUUUUUGCUAUUUUCUUCUUCUUUUUCUCUUUUUACGUUUACUGGAUCUCUCCGACUUGGAAUCUUUUGGGUCUGGAUUCUGGUUUCUCGUUUGGGUUUACUGUUAGAUGUGGGUUUUAGGAUUAGACCAAGAAUUUUUGUGUUCUUUUUUAGAUCCAAGCUACUUGACCUGUAUGUUAUUGCAUGAACAAUUUUUUUUCUAGGAAAGUUGAAAACUUUCCCGAGAGGUCCUUACCUUCUGUCAUAAACGGUGAGAUCUGGGUGUUUCACUUGAUUAUAUGUUGGAUGAUAAGAUUCAUUUGAUUUAUGAUCUAGUCUUGGGCUUUAAUAUCAAAAUUGGUUACUUUAAUCUGCUGCCAGUAAAUCUAUUUAUAUCUUUCAAUAGAAAAUAAUUCAAGAUUAAUUUUUUUUAUGAAUUGGGAAUAUAAAAUUUUCUGUUGUGGAAUUGAUGUUUCAUCAAAGUUUUUUAGUGGAAUUAAUUUGUCUCGAUCAAAAUUUGCUGAAAUGAUUGAUAUUUGAGAUUUUGUGCAUAAAUAUUCUGUAGCAAAUAAGAAAAUCUGAAAUGGAACUUCUAUUGAAUUGUUGAAUUAUGAUACACAGGAAAGCAUUUAGAUUUUUGCUGGGUUUUAGUAUGUAUUAACUUUUGCUGUUCUUAGCAGGCUUGAAAAUACCGACAGAGUAAGAUAGAUAGGGUUUAAAGCCAUUAGAGAUCCCUACAAAUUCAAGAUGAUGAUGUUCGAUGAGAUGGGAUUUUGUAGUGAUAUGGAUUUCUUCUCUGCGCCUUUUGGAGAAGAUGUGGCUGCUCCGCAAGCUGAGCCGGAGCCUACUGUGGAGGAUGAUUAUAGUGAUGAGGAGACUGAUGUUGAUGAGCUUGAGCGCAGGAUGUGGAGGGACAAGAUGCGUCUUAAAAGGCUGAAAGAGCAGAACAAGAGUAAAGAAGGUAUUGAUAUUGCUAAGCAGAGGCAGUCACAGGAACAAGCUAGGAGGAAGAAGAUGUCAAGGGCUCAAGAUGGGAUCUUAAAAUAUAUGUUGAAGAUGAUGGAAGUUUGUAAAGCUCAAGGCUUUGUUUAUGGGAUUAUUCCUGAGAAAGGAAAGCCAGUGACUGGGGCAUCAGAUAAUCUUCGAGAGUGGUGGAAGGAUAAAGUAAGGUUUGAUCGAAAUGGUCCGGCUGCCAUUGCCAAGUAUCAAGCGGAUAAUUCGAUCCCAGGCAAGAAUGAGGGUUGUAAUUCAAUUGGUCCAACUCCACAUACCUUGCAGGAGCUUCAAGAUACUACUUUGGGUUCGCUUUUGUCAGCUUUGAUGCAGCACUGUGAUCCUCCUCAGAGGCGGUUUCCAUUGGAGAAAGGUGUUCCUCCACCAUGGUGGCCCAAUGGAAAUGAAGAGUGGUGGCCUCAAUUAGGCUUACCUAAGGACCAGGGUCCUCCACCUUAUAAGAAGCCUCAUGACUUGAAAAAGGCAUGGAAGGUUGGGGUUCUUACUGCAGUGAUCAAACAUAUGUCUCCAGACAUUGCCAAAAUUCGCAAGCUUGUGAGACAGUCAAAGUGUUUACAGGACAAAAUGACAGCUAAGGAGAGUGCAACUUGGCUUGCAAUUAUUAACCAAGAGGAGGCAUUGGCCCGAGAGCUUUACCCUGAUUCAUGCCCACCCUUGUCAUCGACUGGAGGGAGUGGUUCAUUAGUGAUUCAUGAUUGCAGUGAAUAUGAUGUUGAAGGGGUUGAAAAUGAGCCGAACUUUGAUGUGCAAGAGUGCAAACCUGAGAAUCUGAAUUCCAAUUUGGGAAUGGAGAGAAUGAGGGAAAGGCUUCCACUUCGACAACCUUCUUAUCCGAUUAAGGGAGAGAUUGUCACUAAUGUUGAUUUUAUUAGGAAGAGAAAACCUCCCAGUGAUAUAGACAUGAUGGUGGAUCAGAAGAUAUAUACAUGUGAGUUUGUUCAAUGUCCUUACAGUCAACUCCGUCUUGGUUUUAAUGAUAGGGCUUCUAGGGACAAUCAUCAAUUAAAUUGCCCAUAUAGAUGCUCUCUGGACUUUGGAGGAUCAAAUUUUCACUGUAAUGAAGUGAAGCCUGUUAUCUUUCCUCAUCCAAAGCCAGCUCCUCUAAUGGUGAAUGCAGCUCCACCUACUUUCGAUCUAUCAGGAGUUCCGGAAGAUGGGCAAAAGAUGAUCAGUGAACUCAUGUCAAUCUAUGACACUAACAUCCAAGGAAACAAGAAUACAAAUGCUGGCAACAAUGGGGUCAAUGUCAAUGAAAGUCACAGUCUUUUCCAGCCAAAAAUUCACCAUCAUCAUCAACCGGACAACUACUUCCGAGGUCAAGCGAAUGUGAUAGAGGGAAAUAUUUUUGAAGAAUCCAAUAUUCAUAAUAACCAUCAAAUGUUUUCUCAGGAUAGUAAUCAAUUUGAAAGGUUUAAAGCUUUGAAUUCUCCAUUUGAGAGCAACCACCACCCCACCGCCGCCGCCACCAACAACAGCAGCUUUAAGUUCGGAUCUCCAUUCGAUUUAGCUUCCUUUGACUACAAAGAAGACUUGCAAGGCUUGGUAAUGGAUGCUCUGCCAAAACAGCAGGAUGUUUCAAUCUGGUUCCAGUGAAGAAAUAAACACACAGAUUUCGAAUCACUCUCCAUAUGAGAGAUGAACUAUCUUUUAUCUUGUUUAGGCUCUGCAAAAUCCAGUGAAAGCUUCACUGGCUUUUAAGAACUGUUUUAUCAUUUAAAUGUAUUUCCCUUAUCUUUGUAGUUCUAGAAGAUUUAGAUAGCUAUAAGCAAUGGCAAGCAAUGGGCUAAUAAAGAAGUUAGCAAAGUCCCAAAAAUCGCCUCUUGCCGUUGAUUACUAUAAUUAUAUACACAAUAUAAGACUGUGAAAUAAAUAAGUAAUUAGUGUUUUGCUGUAUUUUAUUGUUGUGGGUUUCAUCAGUUCAGCCCUUGUGGUCAGGAAUCUGAUGGCAAGUGUUUGUUUAAGUUGUCUUGUAAUGGAAAGGGUUUGUCAUUUUAUGGAUCUUGUUGGUCUGCCCAUGUGAAUUCUGAGACACACAACAGAGCAGUUAGGUUUGAAGAUGCCAAGUUGACUAGCACUUGUUUGUGUGAUGGCAUGUUUCGCAUUGUGGAUCAUUAUUACUUUUUUUUUUUCUUCCAAAAAUAGAUAUCUUUUUAUAGAAAAAAAAAUGGAAAUAAAAGGUUUCAAACUAAUUUUCCUUUCAUUUCUUGUUUUAUUUUUAAUUUAAUAAUUUAUUAUAAUAAUUUAUUAAAUAAAUUGCUUGUUUUAUUUUUAAUUUAAUAUAUUCAGAUGGAUUCAAAUUAAUUAUAAAUAAUGUAUAAAGAGUAAAUAUGAAAAAAAAAAAAAUUAAUACUUUUGAAACAACAAUGUCGCUAUUUUUGAAAGAAAAGCAGUGAUAGGAGGGUGGUGGCGGUGUAGGGUUUUUAUUUUUAUAAUUGAAGAGAGGAGAUGCGAUAGGGUGGCGGCGGAGGAAGCGGUGGUGGGGAGGUUGUGUUCAAAGGUUCAAGAGGGGCGGCUGGGUUUGGAAGCUUUUGGGGAUUUUUUUCAAGCUUUGAUGGCAAUGUUUGGCCAGUUGUCAACAUACUUUGGCGUGUUAGACUAAAAAAAAGUUCGGAACUUAUCACUUCACUAUGUGUGGGUCCCAUUUUUUUCCUUUUUUUUUUUUUUUAAAUAAUACAAUAAUCGGUUGAAAGUUGAAACUAGACGUCGCUUUUACAGGAUGGAUUUUAGUGUUGACAACUUUUGCGUGUUCUCUAUUGUUAUAGCCGUUCGAUCAGCAUAUGUGAUUUGUGAUUGUGAACAUCUCCGCAUAAAAAUAAAUUUUUUUUCUGAAAUAAUAGAAUUAUAUAUAUAUAUAUAUAUAUAUAUAUAUAAAAGAAAUAGGCAUGAAAAAAAAAUUAAUACUUUUGAAACAACAAUGUCGCUAUUUUUGAAAGAAAAGCAGUGAUAGGAGGGUGGUGGCGGUGUAGGGUUUUUAUUUUUAUAAUUGAAGAGAGGAGAUGCGAUAGGGUGGCGGCGGAGGAAGCGGUGGUGGGGAGGUUGUGUUCAAAGGUUCAAGAGGGGCGGCUGGGUUUGGAAGCUUUUGGGGAUUUUUUUCAAGCUUUGAUGGCAAUGUUUGGCCAGUUGUCAACAUACUUUGGCGUGUUAGACUAAAAAAAAGUUCGGAACUUAUCACUUCACUAUGUGUGGGUCCCAUUUUUUUCCUUUUUUUUUUUUUUUAAAUAAUACAAUAAUCGGUUGAAAGUUGAAACUAGACGUCGCUUUUACAGGAUGGAUUUUAGUGUUGACAACUUUUGCGUGUUCUCUAUUGUUAUAGCCGUUCGAUCAGCAUAUGUGAUUUGUGAUUGUGAACAUCUCCGCAUAAAAAUAAAUUUUUUUUCUGAAAUAAUAGAAUUAUAUAUAUAUAUAUAUAUAUAUAUAUAUAUAAGAAUUAGGCAUGUUCGUGGUCGUUGCGAACGAAUUUUUUAAUAUUUAUAUCUGCUAACUAAAAAAAUAUCUAUUUUACUAUUCGUGAUGUAUUAAGGUAAAUCACGUUGGAGUGAUGUAUUAAGGUAAAUCAUGUUGGAAGACGAAUUAAGUCGGAUUAAAAAAUAAAAAUAAAAUAGCUUUUUUUUUUUAAAAAAAAAACAUGAAUAAAAGUAUAUUCAUGUAGAAUUUGUAUGAUUAAAUUUACACGUGUUCUUUUGAAAUUGAAAUUAAUAUAUACAUUCUUAUGAUUAAAAUGAACAUCCUUAAAAAAUAUUAAAUGAAUGACGAUAUUUUUUAAUUAAAAUAUUAAAUUAAAUUAAAGUAAGGUGUUUUUUUUAUGAAUUUUCUGAUUUUUAAUGUAAAUGGUAAAAAAAUAUUUACCUUUCGAUUUAAUUUCAUCAUUAAAUCCUCAAGCAAGAUGAAAAGUAAACAGCACGUGAGAAGUCUAAAUUUUAUUUAUUUAUUAUAAAAUAUUUGAACCAUAUCCAAAGCAAGUACUCCAAUUAUUUGAGGUCUAUUGGCAGUCAUAAGUUAUUGAUUUUCUUUUUUUUUUUUUUUUUUAUAAUAUUUUCCUUAGGAAAUUAAAAUAACCACACAGUAUGAAACUUUAGUUUGUCUCAUCUCCUUUGUUUUUUAGCGGCAGCCGUGUAGCUUACGGCAUGUUUGGCAUUGUUUGCUUUUCUUAGAAAAUGAGUUCAUAACAUCUGACUUCGUAUGAAAAAUAUAUUAAGCUUAAGGAUGACAAUGGAUCGGAUUAUGGAAAAAUUACUCUUAUUUAAAUUAAAAUAACGUAUAAUUCAUUUUCAAAUCUACGCAAAUAAAUAGGUGCUUUGCAAUAAAUAAAAUUUUAAUUUUUUAAUAUAUAACGUGGUAAGAUAAUCAAAUCAUUUACUUGAUAAAAUCUCAAUUGAAAUUUAUUUUUAAACAAAGCAGAUCAUCUCUGACCAUAAACUAAAAUUCGAUGAUUAUUGAUGAAUAAACUCAAGCAAUUUUUGGACGAACUCGAAAGUUCUUAAAUAGCAUGAAACAAAAAUAAUUAAUAUAUCUAUACCAUAAACAUAAUUAUUUCUUUUAUAUUUUAUAAAGUUUUUUAUGAAAUACAAAAGGUAAAAUAAAUUCUUAAUAUAUAAAAUAAUUAUGAAUAUAUAAUAUUGAGUUAAAAUGUUGCUAUUAGAUAUAAAAAAGUAUAUUAAAAUUUAUAAUUUAAUUAAUUAAAUAAGCUCGUGAACAAGUUUGAGUUCGUUGUGAAAAUUAACAAAUCGUGGUUGAAAUAAAUUUUGAGCUUCAUAUUAAACUAAAACUCAACUUGAGCUCGAAUUACAUAUUAUCAAAUAAUGUUAUACUCAACUCAUUUAUAAUCGUAUAUACGCAUCGUGUAUUGUAGUACAUAUAUUAAUUCAACUCUAAUUGGGGAUUUAAAAACUAAAAAUUUUAGUUGGACAAACAUCGAAAAAAAGGAGUAUUUAUUAAACGUUGUUGUCACUUAGGUUUAACCAUAUACAUACAAAGCAACUUAAAUUCAAAUAAAACAAAUUCCAUAAAACAAAAUAAUUAAUUUUGUCUCUUUAUUUUCUUUUUAUUAUUUGAAAAUUUCAAUGCUAAUUACAAUAAUAAUUUUCUACUUUCAAUUCUUCAAAUGCAAACGCCUAGUGAUUGCUUCACCGGUUUGACAAAUGCAAUCAAAUUCUUGAAUCAUUUGUGCAAGAUUUGGUGGAAUGGUUCCACCUCCCAUUCUAUUAUCUCUACAAUUUACCACAUUAAUCUUAGCACUUGUUAGGGAAAGAUCUAUGUUUGAAAAUUUCUUAGUGAUCACACAUGUUUUCGAUACUUGCAUGGCAUUAACCGCAAUAGCAAAAUAUAUUGAACAAGAUGAAUAUCGGGCUUUCAAGACGUGAUCUUUCGUCGAUUGAUCGAGCGAUGUAGUUAUGGCAAUAAUCUCUUGAAGCUUAGUAUUCGCCGUGUCGAUUACCAUUUGCGCUAAACCGUAUAGAUCCAUUGUUUUCGUCUCGGGAUGUGAUGAUAGAAGAUUUAUGCAAAAUUGAGCGUUAUGCUCGACUUUCGAGCAUAUCUCCAUAAUUUUCUCAUCGGUGACGACAACAUGAGCCGCAGAGGAAUUAGCAAUGGUUAGAACUAGUAGGGAAAUACAAAGUAUAGUAGAAGCAAAGCCAUGGGAGGAUAAUGCCAUUUCUUUAAUUAGGUUUUCUUUGCAUUGGAGUUUAAGGAUUUAGGGUCUUAUAUAGUAGUUAUAAGGUUGGUAAUACUUGAUCAAGCUUUUACCACGCUAAUUGCCUAAAUAUGAAAACUUAUUUAUAGUCAUGACUAUAAAUACUUUUUUUCCAUUAUUUGUGGCUUGAAACUAGAAAUUAAUAGCUACAAAUCAACUCAAGCUAAUAUUAAUAAACUAUAAGUCCGCAUGACUUUUAGAGAAGCUAAAUUCUUAAACCCAUUAGCUCGAGAAAUUUUUAGUUAGACUUAGUCUACGACGUCAGCUAUAGACCAUCUAAUGAAAUAUAGUCAUAUCAAUAAUUUUUUUUAGCUUAUCUCUGUUAGUUCAUUCACGUUUCGGCUUUUAUAACUCUUAAGGAAACUAAACUAUCAUAAUACAAAAUUGCCUAAUAUAUCAUACUAUUCCGAGCUUUUCGGCUUCUAUAACUCUUAAGGAAACUAAACUCUUAAACCUAUUAUUAAUUAGCAAUAUUUAAAACUAUCAUAACACAAAUAGUGCAAUGUAUCAUAAUAUCCCAAACCUUUCAAGCUUUUGUAACUUUUAAGAAAACUAAACUUUAAAUUUAUUAGCACCACCAACUUAGCAAAUAGCAACGUUUAAAACUAAUUAGCAAUAUUUAAAACUAUCAUAAUACAAAAUGACCUAAUAUAUCAUAAUAUCCCAAACUUUCAGCUUUCGUAACUUUUAAGGAAAUUAAAGUACUCUUAAGCCUAUUAACACCACCAACUUUACAAGUAGCAACAUUUAAAAUUAAUUAGCGAUAUUUAAAAUUGCAAUCGCAUAAAACGACAUAUUUUAUCAUAAUAUUCCGAACUCCGACAAAAAAACUAAACUCUUAAACCUAUUAUCAUCACCAACUUAACAAAUACCAACAUCGAAAACUAAUUAUACAUUAUAAAUUGGUACAUCCCUAUAGGACACCCAAAUUAUAAAUUGGUACUAGAGUAAAAACCCUAAAGUUUUUAAUUAUUCUUUUGUUGAUUGUUUAUUUUACCUUAUGUAGGUCACGAUAUAAAUUGCUAUCUUGUGAAUAAAAGAUUGUAAAUAAUAAUUAUCAAAUCAACCACCACUUUACAAUAUGGAGAGGCAAUUAUAAAUUCAAAUGACAUUGUUCGUCGUAUGUACCAUUAGACCGACACAUUUUUUCUUUAAUUUUUUUUUUAUUAUUUUUCCUUUUCUUUAAUGUAUAAAAACAAGCAUUGCAGACCACCAAGAACAUGCCAAGAUAGACACCUUGCACUAAAAACAAAAUCCCCACUUAUUGAAAUGAAAUUAGAUUAUAUCUUCUAAAUGAAAUUUAUCUCCAAACAGAACAUUUUAAAUUUUAUGCUCGUGGUUAUUGAAAGAACUUUAUUAUCUUAAUACGUUAUCCCGAAUAUAAAAAAAAAUUAUAUAUUUUUAAAGAAUUUUAUGAACAAGGUGAAUAUAUAAACACAAGAUGAUUAUCAAAUAUAAUAAACUAAAAUAGAGAGAUCCUUUAUGGUAGGGACUCCAAAAUUAUUUUUUUAAAAGGAAAUUAGCAAAAGAAGAGAAAUACAUGAACAAAGCAGUUAGAACAGGUAUGACAGGUCAUAAAGCUAACCCUAUGUUUCAAGAAAUUGAAACAAAUCUUUCCAUUGACCUUAAUUAAAUUAAAAGCUUUUAGUUUCAUUUUUUAGGCAUUAGUCUAUGUACUUGAGGCUACACUUCUGGCAUAAGAAUAUGCAAAAUGACAGCUACAAGUCUUAUUAAUAAUUUUUUAAUUAGCUGAGUUUUUUUAGCCAAUAAAUCAAUUUUUAAUUCUAAUUCAUAGCAUAAAUAUUGAAUAUAUAUAUAUAUAUAUAUAUAUAUAUAUAUAUAUAUAUAUAUGCUGCCNNNNNNNNNNNNNNNNNNNNNNNNNNNNNNNNNNNNNNNNNNNNNNNNNNNNNNNNNNNNNNNNNNNNNNNNNNNNNNNNNNNNNNNNNNNNNNNNNNNNNNNNNNNNNNNNNNNNNNNNNNNNNNNNNNNNNNNNNNNNNNNNNNNNNNNNNNNNNNNNNNNNNNNNNNNNNNNNNNNNNNNNNNNNNNNNNNNNNNNNNNNNNNNNNNNNNNNNNNNNNNNNNNNNNNNNNNNNNNNNNNNNNNNNNNNNNNNNNNNNNNNNNNNNNNNNNNNNNNNNNNNNNNNNNNNNNNNNNNNNNNNNNNNNNNNNNNNNNNNNNNNNNNNNNNNNNNNNNNNNNNNNNNNNNNNNNNNNNNNNNNNNNNNNNNNNNNNNNNNNNNNNNNNNNNNNNNNNNNNNNNNNNNNNNNNNNNNNNNNNNNNNNNNNNNNNNNNNNNNNNNNNNNNNNNNNNNNNNNNNNNNNNNNNNNNNNNNNNNNNNNNNNNNNNNNNNNNNNNNNNNNNNNNNNNNNNNNNNNNNNNNUAUAUAUAUAUAUAUUAAAAUAUAGAUGGUCAUCCUCAAAAUGCCUAUCAAUUAUUAUAUUUGAUUGACUUUUCAUGAUCUCGAAAACAUUUGGUGACAUGAACCCUUUCAUUUUAUUUUAUGACAAAGUUUCUUUAUCUAGUUGACUGCCCAUGAAUUUUCUAGGGACAAAACAAUUAUUCAAGAGUCGACCGAAAAAAUAUAAUCAUUAAAAUUUAUUUAAUAAGCUUGAUGAGCUAAUUUCAAAUUUGUUUAUUAAGUUUAUUUAAUAAAUGAAUCAAUCUCGACUUAUAGUUUGAGGCUUUUUUAUAAUUUUUUUUAAAUUAUAAGCUAGCGAAACUCAUUUAUGUUGAGUAUACGUAAACGAGUAUUAAUAAGUUUCAACUAAUUUUAUUUGUUUAAUACUUUUUUAAAAUAAUAUUAUAUGAUUUGUUUCAUAUAAGAACAAAUAAUUAUUAAAUAAAUUAUUAUUAUUUUCAUUUUUUAAAUAACUAAAUAAUUUAUUAUAAUUAAUUAAUUUUCUUUUAUUUUUCAUAGUUAAAUCUAAAACCCUAUUCUAGGAACAAUUCCGAAAAGAUGGGUCAAAUUUAUGCGUAACAAAAAUAAACAGAUUGGGCUUUGUCAACUUUAUGGGCCUUCUGUUCUAUGGACACACUUAUAUUAUAUAUUCAGAAGAUGAGCCUAAUAUUUGUGUACAAAAUGGGCUGGACUUUGAUAAGAUAGAGGGUCUUUUGUCCAAUAAGUACUCUCUAAAUCCUACUUGGGAGGUGUUUGCUAUAACAUUAAUGCUAAGUAAAACUUGUGACUUAGAGAGUUGAUACACGUAGCCUAUUAUUGCUUUUAUCAAAAGGUUAUUUCCGCAGCUCAAAUCUAUUUUUUCAAUAUUAUAAAUUUAACUAUAAACUCGCAGAAUAAAUGAAUAUAUAUUAACCUUUAAAAGUAUAUUCGCUUAUUAUAAAUUUAUAAAAUUUCAAUAUGUCAGUAAUUCAAUCGGAUUCGAGCAGAAUUUAGUUAAUUUAAGAGGCUAAAAAUACUUGUCUAGCUAAUGAAAAAAACAAAAAAGAAAAGAAAAAGUUAUCAACCUUCGGAUUUAAAAACUAAAUUUGUCCAAUAAAAAUAUAUUGAUAAUAUAAAAUAUAAUCCAAUCCUUAUUUUUAUGUAAAAAUAUUCUUAUAGGAGCUAAUCUCUAAAAUUUAUCUCUUGAAAAUUUAAACACAUAAUAGAUAGUUUGACAAAUAAUAAAUAUAUGGAUCAUUAAAUGACUUGCGUAUUGGGAUCAGUAAGAUGUGGUAGAAAGUUUGUAAAAGACAAGGAGAAGAAAAACAGGUAAUUACCAGUCAAAUCCCCAGCUAACUCAAAAUCAAUAUUUAUAUAUCCUUAGCAUUUAACACUUACCCACAAGUGAAUCUGUCCUUUUCUUGUAGAGUUAUUGCACAUUGCAAUUUGGCAUAACAAUAAUAGUGUAACAAGCUAACAGCACUCACCUACUCCUACUGCUGCUAGUGCUGCUGCUGCUCACUCUCUUUCUGAUAUGACUGUACUUUCUCUCUGAAUCUCACUGGUUUUUGCAUUCUUUGUUAUGUUUGUUUUGUCUCUGCUUCUUCAAGAAGUUCACUUUCUUUCUUGUUCUUGAGUACGCACUUCCAUUUCAUUAUCUUCUUUUACUUCCAAAAGCUUUAGUUCCGCUCAUUUCAAGAAAUGCUUGAAAUGAUAGGUAUUUGUGGAAAGUUAUUCUUUUGCUAACCAUUUGUGUUUCCUUUACGUUCUUGUUCUCUAGGCUGCUUAACUGAAAAAAGAAAUGUAGAUUCUUGUGCUUGUUUCAUUUCUUUACUUCUUGCUGAUUUGCUUAGCUGCUUUUGUUAUUUAUGUUAGCUAUUGGGUUUCUAUUUUUCUUCUUUUUGUGACGUACUUUUUGUUGCAGUGAAUCUAUUAUUUCCAUUUAUGAGAAAAUGGAUUUAUGAAUUUAGCAGUUCUUGAGCUGUGAAGUUCAAUUUUAGUAUGUUUUAUUUUUUAUAGUCUUUGGUUCAAUUUAGUCUUCCACUACUCCUUACUUUUUGACCAAUGCAUUUGAGUUUUCCUGUAGAUUCGCGUAGGCUGUGAUUAUAUUGUUGAUUUGUUACUUGUAUAGUACUUCCUUCUUGCAAAUUGGGUCGAUUUCUUUUCCCCUCUCAAACUGGUUCUUUUAAUCCGGUUUGGUGUAUUCCCAUUAUCUCUCUCGUUGAAAUUUGUGAUUUUGGACCCUUGUUGAAGCAAUGCAGAUAACCAGUUUGAUGUUGUUCUUAUUAGUAGUGAAUGCUUUUGGACAAUCAGAUUUUGAAGCACUGUUGGAACUCAAAAAGGGUAUUGAGAAAGACCCAUCUGGGGAAGUUCUUGUUUCAUGGGAUUCUAAGUCUCUGGCAUCUGAUGGUUGUCCACUGAACUGGUAUGGAGUUGUCUGCAUUGAUGGUCACGUAGCUUCCCUUACUCUGAAUGACAUAGGCCUUGUUGGCAAUUUUAGUUUCCCAGUUCUUACUGGUCUUAAAAUGCUUAGAAACUUAUCAAUUUCGAAUAACCAAUUUGUGGGAACUGUUUCAAAUGUUGGUUCUAUCGAGUCCCUAGAGUAUUUUGAUAUUUCUCGCAAUUUGUUUCAUGGGUUCUUACCCUUUGGCAUAGUCAAGUUAAAGAAUUUAGUGCUUUUGAAUCUUUCUUCAAAUAAUUUUCAAGGCAUGAUUCUUUCUGGUUUUGGCAGUCUUGAGAUGUUGAAAUAUUUAGAUUUGAGAAGUAAUAGCUUUUCUGGUGAUAUAAUGGAUCUUCUUUCCAAGUUGGGCAAUGUGCUUCAUGUCGACCUAAGCAGCAAUCAGUUCUCUGGUUCUUUGGAUUUGGGACUUGGGAAUAGCCGUUUUAUUUCGUCAAUUGUAUAUUUGAAUAUAAGUCAUAAUUCUGUGGUUGGAAAGCUCUUUGCUCAUGAUGGAAUGCCAUAUUUUGACAGUUUAGAGGUCUUUGAUGCCAGUAAUAACCAGAUAGCUGGUGAAAUACCUCCAUUUCAAUUUGUUGUCUCUCUUCGGAUUCUUAGGCUUGGAAAUAACCAGUUAACAGGAUCUCUUCCUGAAGCUCUUUUACAAGAUAAAUCAAUGGUAUUGUCUGAACUGGAUCUUAGCCUUAAUCGACUUGAAGGUACCUGAUUCCAACAGUUCACCGUUUCCCUCUCUUUUCCCUUUCCUUUUUUCUUUCUAUUUUCUCAUAGUUCUGGUGAAUUUAUGUAAAAUGAUUUUUUGUUUUUUUCAUGCUAGUUAUUCCUGCAUUAAACUUGCAUUUGAGAUUAACAUUAACAUUUGAAACUAUUAUUCAAUUAAGAGUUGCGAUAAGAAACAUAUGCAGCUCUACUCUUGCAAAUUUGUAUCCGGUAUAAAAACUGAUUGAAAGGCAAAAAUAGCUUUACCUAUCAAUUUAAAGUGAAAAAUGCUCACCUUUAUAGCAUAUCUUUGCUAAAGCUAUUUAAGAGUUUACUCUAUCAUUGAUUAGAGUUUGUUCAGUUUACUCUUUGGAGUUUUGCUUGAUUCUAUAAUAUGCUAGGUUGCAUCAACCAUUGUUAAUAUUUUAGGCUCUAGAUAUAGAAUAACAUCCUGUCAUUUUUCCUCAAAUAUAAUUUUAGCAACUUUGGCAUGUGAGCAGGAAAAACGUAGCCUUCUACAGUUUAUGUUUGAACGUGGAAGUAAAUAUAAAAGCCCACCACAUAGUGAAACAGCAAUCAUAUCAAAGAAAGUGUAUUGCAAUGUCAGUUUCCUGAAAAUCAUUAUCAUAUAAAUACAUAUCAUCGCAGUUAGAAAAUUCGAACUGAUUCAGGAUGUGAAGAGAUCUCUAUCAUCACAGUUUUUGCAGGUUUUCCAUGUUGGUUGAUGUAGUCAUUAUCUCUCAAAAGUUGCAUCUGCUUUGAAUUUCAGUUUCUCAACAUGCCAUUAUAUCUAUGCAUAUAAAAUUUUAAAGGAUUAACAUGUUUUGCA
rnacentral:lncRNA from 1 species